UCCCCCCAUGGAAGAUCCCUCAUCUGCCUCACGACCACUGUCAAAGACAGAGACUGAAGCCCCUGCCCAAGGACUGAGGCUGAGACCCUUAAAAUUCUAACACAGGGGCACUGGCCUGACUGAAGUGGCAUGUUUGCCAAGUGCUGUCUGCAGCAGAGGACUAUGGAGGACCCCUGAGUUAACCAAAGAUUUUGAGAUUUUCCCCAACGUGACAAGACAGAUCUAUUGGCCAGACUACAAGGAUUUCAUCUCUCCAUUGGUAGCUAUUCCCUCCCCUCUUUUUCUCUCUAUCCUUUAUCUCCUUCCUAAUCCUUCUAUCACAUUUGCUGUGGGCACUCAAUAAAGGUGCAUUUGUUUUGA